rnacentral:rRNA from 1 species
UACGUAGGGGGCUAGCGUUGUCCGGAUUUAUUGGGCGUAAAGAGCGUGUAGGCGGCCAGGUAGGUCUGCCGUGAAAACUCGAGGCUCAACCUCGAGACGUCGGCGGAAACCAUCUGGCUAGAGUCCGGAAGAGGAGAGUGGAAUCCCUGGUGUAGCGGUGAAAUGCGCAGAUAUCAGGAAGAACACCCGUGGCGAAGGCGGCUCUCUGGGACGGUACUGACGCUGAGGCGCGAAAGCCAGGGGAGCGAACGGG